UUGGUAAGAACCAAGACUCCUUGGAGGAUGCGGAAUCCACGUAUUGGACCCAGAAAAAUUAUGCCUCGCUGGAGUGAGUGAUAAAUAACCCCCUCUGGGCAGAGGCAUUUUUACUCUCGGAGUCCUCAGGAUCUAACGGUCAACUGCAAUACCACGUUGUGCCAGUAGAUGACGACACCAUCCAAUAUGUGAGGACUCCUCACCGGAAAUCCCUUUAAUUUCAGGGUCUCACCCAGCCUGGAGUGCAAUAGCGUGAUCUCAGCUCACUGCAGCCUCGACCUUCUGGACUCAAGCAAUCUUCACACCUCAGCCUCCCAAAUAGCCAAGACUACAGACAUGGGCGAACACUCCUGGCUAAUUUUGUGCAUAUUUUUGUACAGUCAAAGUCUCACUAUGUUGCCCAGGAUUGUAACUCCAGAAGCUAGUUUAGCCUUUGAAACAUACAUACAUGGUGAUCAAAAGCUUACUGAAUGCGGAAGUCAGUGAAUGGAUGAAUAAAUGGCAUAGUUAUCUAAGGAAAGUAUAUACUGUCAUUUUUUUCAUUAAUCUCCUGAGUACUUUUCUUAUUAAACUUCUUUCUUUUGUGUCAGACUUUUUUGCUCUCAAUGUUCUUUUGUUUUUACAGUUUUUAAGUUUUUCCCACUGUCUGGAAUCUAAUUGUCAGUUUUUCCAAAGACCUCACCAACCUGAUUUUGUUCUACCUAUCCAAACCUAACUUGUACUAUUCCCCCAAAUGGUACAAAUGUUUCUGUUCUCUGUGAGGCCAAUCUCUAGAGUCCCAUACAAAAACA